GUGGCUGUGUAAGUCGGCUUGAUUUGAUUAAAAAUUAAAUUACUUUAAUUAUUAAAUUUUAAGUUAU
rnacentral:tRNA from 1 species